GACGAACGCUGGCGGCGUGCCUAAUACAUGCAAGUUGAGCGCUGAAGGUUGGUACUUGUACCAACUGGAUGAGCAGCGAACGGGUGAGUAACGCGUGGGGAAUCUGCCUUUGAGCGGGGGACAACAUUUGGAAACGAAUGCUAAUACCGCAUAAAAACUUUAAACACAAGUUUUAAGUUUGAAAGAUGCAAUUGCAUCACUCAAAGAUGAUCCCGCGUUGUAUUAGCUAGUUGGUGAGGUAAAGGCUCACCAAGGCGAUGAUACAUAGCCGACCUGAGAGGGUGGUCCGCCACAUUGGGACUGAGACACGGCCCAAACCCCUACGGGAGGCAGCAGUAGGGAAUCUUCGGCAAUGGAGGAAAGGCUGACCGAGCAACGCCGCGUGAGUGAAGAAGGGUUUCGGAUCGUAAAAAUCUGUUGGUAGAGAAGAACGUUGGUGAGAGUGGAAAGCUCAUCAAGUGACGGUAACUACCCAGAAAGGGACGGCUAACUACGUG
rnacentral:rRNA from 1 species